rnacentral:rRNA from 1 species
GGGGGGGGGGGGGGGGGGGGGGAGGGCGGGCGGGGCGGGCGGAGGGACGGGGAGCUGGCGUGUCUGGUGGUGGCGGCGGGCGGGUGAGUAACACGUGGAUAACCUACCUAUAAGACUGGGAUAACUUCGGGAAACCGGAGCUAAUACCGGAUGCUAUUUUGCACCGCAUGGUUCAAAAGUGAAAGACGGUCUUGCUGUCACUUAUAGCUGGAUCCGCGCUGCAUUAGCUAGUUGGUAAGGUAACGGCUUACCAAGGCAACGAUGCAUAGCCGCCCUGAGAGGGUGAUCGGCCACACUGGAACUGAGACACGGUCCAGACUCCUACGGGAGGCAGCAGUAGGGAAUCUUCCGCAAUGGGCGAAAGCCUGACGGAGCAACGCCGCGUGAGUGAUGAAGGUCUUCGGAUCGUAAAACUCUGUUAUUAGGGAAGAACAUAUGUGUAAGUAACUGUGCACAUCUUGACGGUACCUAAUCAGAAAGCCACGGCUAACUACGUG